CACGGAAACCUCUGCCUCACUGCAAAUUCAAGUGAUUCUCCUGCCUCAGCCUCCCGGGCAGCUGAAACUAUAGGCACACACCACCACACCCGGCUAAUUUUUGUAUUUUUAAGUAGAGACGACAUUUUGCCAUGCUGGUCAGGCUGGUCUAGAACUCCUGACCUCAAGUGAUCUUCCCACCUCAGCCUCCCAAUGUACUGGGUGGGAUUACAGGCACGAUCCACCGCACCUGGCCUAGACUUUGGUUUUUAUCUGGAGCGAAGUGCCACCAGGGCAGGGCUCUGAGCUAGGAGGGCCCUGGCCUGACUCAGGUGGUCCCAGGCUCCCUCUGGCUGAGAUGGGGAGCGGGGAGGCCAGGGAGGAAGCUGCCGGGAUGGCGAGGUUGGGGGAAGGAUGGAGGCUGGACCAGGGUCAGGGAAGUUUUUGUAGGUGGAGCCGAGAGGAUUUGAUGAGAGUGGAUGUGGGGGUGAGGGAGAGAGCGGGCCCAAGGAACACCCUGAGGUGUCUGGCCUAAGCCACUGGGCUAACAUGGCAAAAUAGGAAUGGCCUUUACCUCCGGAUGAAGCGUCACUGAGAAUUUCUGUUGAGAAUUUUCACAAAUUUGAAGUUCUGUUAUUUUAAACAAUGAAUAUGGGUGAUAUUUAUAAAGAGAAAAAGAAUUUUAGAAAAUGUAAAAAUUCCCCAGUGGCUCCACUCUGGAACACCUUCCUUGAGUGGCCUGGGAGGUCUGUGUGUACCUGAACCGCCUGUUAUGAAACCUGCUCAAAGAUGCCACUGCCUAUGAGGUGCCUAUGAACACCCGCACCCCUUAGCUUCAGCUGCCCAGGGUGGCCCAAAGGCUCAGUCCUGUGCACCCAGCAGAGGCCUGACCCACAGCUCCAGACCUCGUCCCCUCAUCAGGACUCUCACAGCAGCCCCUUCCUGGUCUCCCUACUCUUCCUGUCCUCCACCACCUGUUCCCCACACACAGCCAGAGGGGGCCUGUGAACACCUGAGCCAGGUCAGGGUCCUCCCCAGCUUCCACAGUGUUUGGCCACAGAAGUGGCCUGUCUUAAUCCCCACCGCGCUCCCUCCCACCUUGGAGUGUUUGCUGGGUUGUGCCCCACUCCUAGGGCACCCCUUCCCCAUCUUCAGUUAACCUUUUUUUUUUUUUUUUUUUU
rnacentral:lncRNA from 1 species